AGUGAACGCUGGCGGUAGGCCUAACACAUGCAAGUCGAACGGCAGCACAGUAAGAGCUCGCUCUUACGGGUGGCGAGUGGCGGACGGGUGAGGAAUACAUCGGAAUCUACUUUUUCGGGGGGGAUAACGUAGGGAAACUUACGCUAAUACCGCAUACGACCUACGGGUGAAAGCACGGGAGCUUCGGACCUUGCGCGAGUGAAUGAGCCGAUGUCGGAUUAGCUAGUUGGCGGGGUAAAGGCCCACCAAGGCGACGAGCCGUAGAUGGUCUGAGAGGAUGAUAAGCCACACUGGAACUGAGACACGGUCCAGACUCUUGCGGGAGGCAGCAGUGGGGAAUAUUGGGCGAUGGACGAGAGGGUGAUACAGCCCAACCGCGUCAGGGAAGAAGGCCUCAGGGUUGGAAAGCGCUGUUGUUGGGAAAGAAAAAAAGCAGGUUAAUACCGGGAUGUACUGACGGUACCCGAAGAAUAAGCACCGGCUAACUUCGUG
rnacentral:rRNA from 1 species